CGGAGGGAUCAUUACUGAGAGCGUAAAAACUCCCAAAACCCUGUGAAUUUACCAUUUUAUUCGUUGCUUCGGCGGUGCGGUCUCGAGCUGAGGCCCCCGCGUGAGGCCCUCCCCAUGUGGGGCAGGGCGCCCGCCGAGCGACACCCAACGCAAACUCUUGUCGUACCAAACUAGUAUAACUCUGAGUAACAAAGAUUUAAAUAAAUCAAAACUUUCAACAACGGAUCUCUUGGUUCUGGCAUCGAUGAAGAACGCAGCGAAAUGCGAUAAGUAAUGUGAAUUGCAGAAUUCAGCGAAUCAUCGAAUCUUUGAACGCACAUUGCGCCCGCCAGCACUCUGGCGGGCAUGCCUGUUCGAGCGUCAUUUCAACCCUCAAGCCCUGGUUGCUUGGUGUUGGGGUACCUCUGCCGCGCCCUGGAGCGCCGGCAGGCCCCGAAAGACAGUGGCGGGCCCUCUGGGACUCCGAGCGCAGUAAUAACCUCUCGCUCUGGACCGUCCCGCGUGGGAUUCCCGGCCGUUAAACCGCACCGCAGAGACUCGUCUCGGCGCGCUUCUUUAUAAGGUUGACCUCGGAUCAGGUAGGAAUACCCGCUGAACUUAAGCAUAUCAAUAAGCGGAGGAAAAGAAACCAACAGGGAUUGCCCCAGUAACGGCGAGUGAAGCGGCAACAGCUCAAAUUUGAAAUCUGGCCCCAGGCCCG
rnacentral:rRNA from 1 species